UACGGAGGGUGCAAGCGUUAUCCGGAUUCACUGGGUUUAAAGGGUGCGUAGGUGGGCUAGUAAGUCCGUGGUGAAAUCUCUGAGCUUAACUCGGAAACUGCCGUGGAUACUAUUAGUCUUGAAUCUCGUGGAGGUAAGCGGAAUAUGUCAUGUAGCGGUGAAAUGCUUAGAUAUGACAUAGAACACCGAUAGCGAAGGCAGCUUGCUACACGAGUAUUGACACUGAGGCACGAAAGCGUGGGGAUCGAAACCAAGG
rnacentral:rRNA from 1 species